GACGAACGCUGGCGGCGUGCCUAAUACAUGCAAGUAGAACGCACAGUUUAUACCGUAGCUUGCUACACCAUAGACUGUGAGUUGCGAACGGGUGAGUAACGCGUAGGUAACCUGCCUGGUAGCGGGGGAUAACUAUUUGAAACGAUAGCUAAUACCGCAUAAUAUUAAUUAUUGCAUGAUAAUUAAUUGAAAGGUGCAAUUGCACCACUACCAAAUGGACCUGCGUUGUAUUAGCUAGUAGGUGAGGUAACGGCUCACCUAGGCGACGAUACAUAGCCGACCUGAGAGGGUGAUCGGCCACACUGGGACUGAGACACGGCCCAGACUCCUACGGGAGGCAGCAGUAGGGAAUCUUCGGCAAUGGACGAAAGUCUGACCGAGCAACGCCGCGUGAGUGAAGAAGGUGUUCGGAUCGUAAAGCUCUGUUGUAAGAGAAGAACGGGUGUGAGAGUGGAAAGUUCACACAGUGACGGUAUCUUACCAGAAAGGGACGGCUAACUACGU
rnacentral:rRNA from 1 species